rnacentral:misc_RNA from 1 species
AACAAGGCGUACCUGCGGACCUGCGGAAGGAUCAUUACAUGGCGGAGAAGGUGGGCACCUGGCCAAAAAAAACUCCAGGUUGUCAUGCCUUCACGCUCUUCCACCCUUGUCUAUUUGUACCUUUUGUCGUUCCCUCGGCGGGUUUCGACCCGCCGGCGGUAACCAUUGAAAACCCUUUUUGCAGUUUAGCAUCCAAUUCUUCUGAUCAAAUAUCAAAUCGUUACAACUUUUAGCAAUGGA